rnacentral:rRNA from 1 species
GACGAACGCUGGCGGCGUGCUUAACACAUGCAAGUCGAACGGAAAGGCCCUGCUUUUGUGGGGUGCUCGAGUGGCGAACGGGUGAGUAACACGUGAGUAACCUGCCCUUGACUUUGGGAUAACUUCAGGAAACUGGGGCUAAUACCGGAUAGGAGCUCCUGCUGCAUGGUGGGGGUUGGAAAGUUUCGGCGGUUGGGGAUGGACUCGCGGCUUAUCAGCUUGUUGGUGGGGUAGUGGCUUACCAAGGCUUUGACGGGUAGCCGGCCUGAGAGGGUGACCGGCCCACAUUGGAAUGGGAUAUGGGCCCGAGACGCCUAGGAGGGGCAGCAGGGGGAGAUAUUACAAAAGGCGGGGAAGCGUGAUGGAGCAGCGCCGCGUGGGGGGUGAGGGCUUGCGGGGUGUAGCGCGCUUUCGCGUGACGCGAAGUGAGUGACAGGAAAGGGGGAAGAAGCGCCGGCUAAAUCUGCG